rnacentral:rRNA from 1 species
CCUACGGGGGGCUGCAGUGGGGAAUCUUCCGCAAUGGGCGAAAGCCUGACGGAGCAACGCCGCGUGAGUGAUGACGGCCUUCGGGUUGUAAAACUCUGUGAUCCGGGACGAAAAGGCAGAGUGCGAAGAACAAACUGCAUUGACGGUACCGGAAAAGCAAGCCACGGCUAACUACGUGCCAGCAGCCGCGGUAAUACGUAGGUGGCAAGCGUUGUCCGGAAUUAUUGGGCGUAAAGCGCGCGCAGGCGGCUUCCCAAGUCCCUCUUAAAAGUGCGGGGCUUAACCCCGUGAUGGGAAGGAAACUGGGAAGCUGGAGUAUCGGAGAGGAAAGUGGAAUUCCUAGUGUAGCGGUGAAAUGCGUAGAGAUUAGGAAGAACACCGGUGGCGAAGGCGACUUUCUGGACGAAAACUGACGCUGAGGCGCGAAAGCGUGGGGAGCAAACAGGAUUAGAUACCCUGGUAGUC